rnacentral:rRNA from 1 species
GACGAACGCUGGCGGCGUGCCUAACACAUGCAAGUCGAACGGUAAGGCCCUUCGGGGUACACGAGUGGCGAACGGGUGAGUAACACGUGGGUGAUCUGCCCUGCACUUCGGGAUAAGCCUGGGAAACUGGGUCUAAUACCGGAUAGGACCACUGCCUGCAUGGGUGGUGGUGGAAAGCUUUUGCGGUGUGGGAUGGGCCCGCGGCCUAUCAACUUGUUGGUGGGGUGAUGGCCUACCAAGGCGACGACGGGUAGCCGGCCUGAGAGGGUGACCGGCCACACUGGGACUGAGAUACGGCCCAGACUCCUACGGGAGGCAGCAGUGGGGAAUAUUGCACAAUGGGCGCAAGCCUGAUGCAGCGGCGCCGCGUGAGGGAUGGCGGCCUUCGGGUUGUAAACCUCUUUCAGCACCGACGAAGCGCAAGUGACGGUAGGUGCAGAAGAAGGACCGGCCAACUACGUGCCAGCCGCCGCUGUAA